rnacentral:lncRNA from 1 species
UUUGUUAACAGUUCGCAUUUAUUGAGUGCUUGCCGUGGCCAGGCACUGUGCUAAGAACUUGACCCGCACCAUCUCCUUGAAUCUUUAUUCUCACAACAGCCCUUUGAGUAGCUACUAUUUAUUGGACCCAUUUUUGCAGAUGGAGAACCAAGGUAUAGACAGGUUCAAAAUUACACAGAUAAUGAAUAAAAGAACAGGCCUUUGGAACUCAGUUCUCGCUUUGGAGAAAACAAAAGCUUGUGGGAAGGAAAGAAGAAGAGGGAAGUUGAGUCUACCACUAAGAGCAGAUGAUCCCUUAAGGAUGCUUAUUUCCUCCAGCUAAUCUGCCCAAAGCCAGUAAAAUACAGGUAUGCUGUUUUGAAUUUUGAUCCACCCCGUUGCAGUGAUUAUCAUUAAAGUUUCAGACCCCCCUAUUGUUCCAAAGUCUGUGCUGGUUUGCUGAGGAGUUUAUCCUCUGGAUGCUCCCUUCUGCCUCCAAGGUAAGGCUAGAUCAGGGGUCUGGAUACAGGGAUGUGGGGGGGAGGGGGGAGAGGGGGAGAAGUGGUUUAGUCUCUGCUCAGUUGGCCUGCAUUAAACCUGGGAGUAUUCAUCAUGUUUUUCCUGUGGAAG